rnacentral:rRNA from 1 species
AUUGAACGCUAGCGGCAGGCCUAACACAUGCAAGUCGAACGAGUCGCGGGCGGAUGAGUAAGGUAUGGGACACUGACUGAGGGAGGGGGAUAACUACUGGAAACGGUAGCUAAUACCGCAUACCAUCAGAUGUGCCGAGAUGGGAUUAGCUAGUUGGUGGGGUAACGGCUCACCAAGGCGACGAUCCCUAGCUGGUCUGAGAGGAUGACCAGCCACACUGGAACUGAGACACGGUCCAGACUCCUACGGGAGGCAGCAGUGGGGAAUAUUGGACAAUGGGCGCAAGCCGGAUGCAGCCAUGCCGCGUGGAUGAUGAAGGCCUUCGGGUUGUAAAGUACUUUCAGCGGGGAGGCGUUACCCGCAGAAGAAGCACCGGCUAACUCCGUGCCAGCCGCCGCGGUAAUAC